rfam:Manduca sexta ferritin heavy chain-like protein precursor, mRNA, complete cds.
UCGCCUUCUGCACCAGUGUGUGUAAAGGCCUGA